rnacentral:rRNA from 1 species
AUAUCAAUAAGCGGAGGAAAAGAAACUAACAAGGAUUCCCCUAGUAACGGCGAGUGAAGCGGGAAGAGCUCAAGCUUAAAAUCUCUGCGCAAGUUUUGCGCGGCGAAUUGUAGUCUAUGGAGGCGUGGUCAGCGCGGGCGCUCGGGGCAAGUUCCUUGGAAGAGGACAGCAUGGAGGGUGAUACUCCCGUUCAUCCCUGGGCCGCUUGCGCGUACGACCCGUGUUCUUCGAGUCGCGUUGUUUGGGAAUGCAGCGCAAAGUAGGUGGUAAAUUCCAUCUAAAGCUAAAUAUUGGUGCGAGACCGAUAGCGAACAAGUACCGUGAGGGAAAGAUGAAAAGAACUUUGAAAAGAGAGUUAAAGAGUACCUGAAACUGCUGAAAGGGAACCGAAUCGUUUCCAGUGUCUAUAAUCCGCGGCAUAUUUCAUCGUCGAGUGUGUGCGUGUGCGUGCGUUCGCAGUGGCUUUUUUGGCUGCGCGGCGCGUGUGCUGUGCGUGUGCUUGGUGGUGCCCUGUGCUGCGGUGGGACGUCAAGGUCAGUUCGUGUGCUGCGGGAAAUGGCUGCCGAGGAGGUAGGGCUUACGCUCUGCGUUUGUCUAUUAUAUCUUGGUGGACGAGUCGUCGCGGUUGGGACUGAGGUGCCUACAACGUGCUUUUGAGUGUGUGUGUCUCUCUGUGUGCCCGGUGUGCGGAUAGCUUGCUAUGCGUGUGCUGUCGUGCGUGGAUGGGGGCGUGCUGUAACUUGUUGCCGUUCGGGACGUUGACGAAAUGGAGCGAUCCGACCCGUCUUGAAACACGGACCAAGGAGUCUAACAUGUGU